GUGGGGAAUCUUAGACAAUGGGCGCAAGCCUGAUCUAGCCAUGCCGCGUGAGCGAUGAAGGCCUUAGGGUUGUAAAGCUCUUUCGUGGGGGAAGAUAAUGACUGUACCCCAAGAAGAAGCCCCGGCUAACUCCGUGCCAGCAGCCGCGGUAAUACGGAGGGGUCUAGCGUUGUGCGGAAUUACUGGGCGUAAAGCGCACGUAGGCGGACUGGAAAGUCAGGGGUGAAAGCCCGGGGCUCAACCCCGGAACUGCCUUUGAAACUGCCAGUCUUGAGUUCGAGAGAGGUGAGUGGACUUCCGAGUGUAGAGGUGAAAUUCGUAGAUAUUCGGAGGAACACCAGUGGCGAAGGCGGCUCACUGGCUCGAUACUGACGCUGAGGUGCGAAAGCGUGGGGAGCAAACAGGAUUAGAUACCCCUGUAGUCC
rnacentral:rRNA from 1 species